rnacentral:rRNA from 1 species
AUGGAGGCAUCAGCCGGCAGAUCAACGAGCACAGAGACGCAGGCGCCCAAGGAAUUGGAGAUGUCGGCGCCGAUGGAUCGGGAUGGUACCCACGAGGAGCAGGUGCCGCAGACCGAGUCUGAAUUCAAAUCAGAGAUGGGGGCAGGGUCAGUGAUGGGUUCAGACACCAACGAGGGGACGUCCACCAUCAAAUCAGCCGAGUUGAUAAUUGAACCUGCAGAUCGCAGCCCCAGCAAUACAAUUGCCAGAUUGGAACAGUGCUCCGUCCAAGAUGAUACCGAUCAUGGCAGGAUGGACAGAGGCAAAUCAGGCACACUGUUGACCAUGAAUGAGAAGGAUAAGGCCGCUGAGGAGAUGGCUCACGAGGCGGAGAUGUUCGCUUUGUACAUUGAGAGUUGGGAAUCUGAAUGGAGCAAAACCUGCGGUUCCUUCACAGACCAAACGGUGCUGAGUUCCACGUGUUUUGUGCACUAUACACCUGGACGCAUGCCACGGAUCCGUUGUGGGUCUACCCCCGACACCUUGCAGGUCUUCUCCGUCAAGCUUGCAGAAAUAACCGGUGGCCUCCAGUGGCCAUUGUCUGUGUAUGGCGUGGUUGCCGCACGAGACACCGUGGAUCACAACCGCAACCUUAUCUUCUCUUGCGAUAGGAGCCACGCCCAAGAACUGAAACAGGAUGAUAAUUUUUUGCACUUGAUUGGCCCGUUCCGUGCAAUUGUGUUUGAGGACAUGCUCGACUUCGAAAUCCAACUAAAAGUGAAAGGUACAACCCAGUCUGAAGAUGAAGCAUUGAUCAGACAUGUAUGCAGUUACGCGGGAGGAGGAUACGGCCCUGGUGUAACUAUUGGGAACUGUUUUUGCAAACUAGAGUUAUGCCUGCAGCGAGUUACUUGA